AUGAAACUGCUGGGUCUGUUCCUGUGCCUGCUGACAGCCCCCCAGGGUGUCCUGUGCCAAUGGAAGCUGCAAGAGUCAGGCCCAGGACUGGUGAAGCCCUCACAGACCCUCUCCCUCACCUGCACAGUGUCCGGUGGCUCAGUCACCAGCAGUGACUACUGGAACUGGGUCCGCCAGCCUCCAGGGAAGUCACUGGAAUGGAUGGGGUGGUGGUCAGGAAGCACAAGAUACAACCCAGCGUUCCAGGGCCGCAUCUCCAUCACUGCUGACACAUCCAGGAACCAGUUCUCCCUGCAGCUGAGCUCCGUGACCCCUGGGGACACAGCUGUGUAUUACUGUGCAAGAGACACAGUGAGGGGAAGUCAGCAGGAGCCCAGACACAAACCUGCUUAA